rnacentral:rRNA from 1 species
GAUUGAACGCUGGCGGCAGGCCUAACACAUGCAAGUCGAACGGUAACAGGAARCAGCUUGCUGYUUCGCUGACGAGUGGCGGACGGGUGAGUAAUGUCUGGGAAACUGCCUGAUGGAGGGGGAUAACUACUGGAAACGGUAGCUAAUACCGCAUAACGUCGCAAGACCAAAGAGGGGGACCUUCGGGCCUCUUGCCAUCGGAUGUGCCCAGAUGGGAUUAGCUAGUAGGUGGGGUAACGGCUCACCUAGGCGACGAUCCCUAGCUGGUCUGAGAGGAUGACCAGCCACACUGGAACUGAGACACGGUCCAGACUCCUACGGGAGGCAGCAGUGGGGAAUAUUGCACAAUGGGCGCAAGCCUGAUGCAGCCAUGCCGCGUGUAUGAAGAAGGCCUUCGGGUUGUAAAGUACUUUCAGCGGGGAGGAAGGGAGUAAAGUUAAUACCUUUGCUCAUUGACGUUACCCGCAGAAGAAGCACCGGCUAACUCC